GUUAGGGACAUAGGGUUUGUCCAAAGCGCCGCCGAGCUCUCUUUUCGUCUUCCCUCAGUGUCCCUCUCGGCCUCUCCCCUCUCCUCUCCUCCGCCUCCGCCCUCUCCUCCCCCUUGCCGACUACUUCCUCCUCCCCAUCGACGGCGACUGCGGCUACAUCACGCCCCCUAACCCCUGUUUCCUUUUACCCCAUGAUAACAAAAUAAAAGAAAAGAAGAAGAGGAAGAGGAAGAAGAUCUCAUCUAUUCCCGCUCCUUGGGAUUUCUUUGGCUCCCGUUGCCUUUCCUCUCCCUCUUCUGUUCGAAGUCUUCCACGCAUGUGAGCUAUUUAGGGUUCGGGUUCGAUCUCAUCUACGCGAGGUCGGAUCCUCUGCUCUACUAAGCAUGAAGUUUAGCUCAGUUACUUGGUGAUCCAAGAGAUUCUCAGGAAGGUGGUGGAGGAUUCUCAUUUGUUUUAUUGGGGAGAAUAGAUCUCAUCUACCAUGAGGGGAUCUGCAGUUGGACAUCGAUUGAGCAAGGAAUUGCCUACGUGGUGAUGCUAGUGGCCUUAGUCCUCACCUAUCUCAUCCACCCCUUGGAUGCUUCAUCACCCUACAAGCUCUUCUAAGACCAUGCAUGGACUGAAUUGACGGAUUUGUUAGGGAAGGGAGCAGGCAUGUUUAAUUGGAUUGGUUGUUCAUUUUGUUUGAAUCUGUUGUGGUUUGGGAUUUGAACCUCUGGUUGUGGCAAGUUGGUUGUUGAAGAGUAUAGGCUCUUCCAGAAGAUAUGGAGCAAAAUUUUAAAGGACCAAUGCAAGCUUUUGAUUCUG